GUACGGAAGCCCCAGAGAAUGGCUCUAAAUUGUUGGACCAUCCAUGAGGAUGCUGGUCCUCACAGUCAGGCUUCAGGAGAGAUCGUAUGAUGUCUUUUCCUUGUGCGUCCUCAUAUGCUGUUUUUGUAGUUUGUCUCCAGGUAAAUAAAGCAUGGAUUCAUAACCUCAUUUGACCAAACACCUGGAAUGUGAGUUUGGAUUGAGAAGACUCUGCUAGUGGAAGGGGCGAUCUUAGCAUGCAGGUCACUUCAAAGAAGGCCAGGCCCAUCUGGGGUAUCUGAACAAAAUCUUUUGGGAUAGCCAGAGAGUAAGAGGAUGGCUGAGGAAGAGAGAAAGUUGGCUCCAGAUGGUAAGUGACAGGUCCGUAUCACAAUAAUAUGCAAUUUCCUAAGGGUUCUGAGGGCAUUAACUUCCAAGAGAUGCAUACCCAGCAUCUGGCACAGAACCUCUAGUACUGCCUACCCAGCAUGUUUUCCUU
rnacentral:lncRNA from 1 species